rnacentral:lncRNA from 1 species
UCCUGUAAGGCCCAGGGCUCUCUGUUUGCACACUCGGAGAACCAAGAGAUCAGCUCUUCGGAGGCUAGCACCUUCCAGGAAUGCACAAGGCGGUUCAGCAAUUCUUUGGGCAAAGUCAAAUCGCCCAGCCUGGCGCCUCCGCCCACAUUUCCUUUGUUCUCUCCUUUCUCUGGGCUUGUAGACGCGAUCGCGGCAUUAACCAGGCUACGCCACCAGGUGGCGACGGUGCCCCAACGUUAGCCUCCUCAAGCAUCUGCCUUCCAGCCGCUCUUCCCGGAAUCAGCGACUGGGAGGAGCUGCGGGUCUCCGGGAGCCCCCCACCGCUCCCUGGCUUCCAGCUGCAUUCAAGACCGUCCUGCCUGCUCCAGUGCAGGCAAAGCUGUGGCUCCCUUUUCAGGCUGCAAUUCCUAGUAGCCUCGUUUGAAAGUGUGCUUCGUGUACCACAAAGCAGGGGCACCAAAAGGGGAAACAAAAAGAGGAGGAUUCAGAAAUAGGGACCUGCUCUGGCUCUGGGAGAAGCAUCUCCGUCUUGAAGAUGUGCAUGGAGAUGAAGGACUCCUCCCGUAAUCAUCUGGAGGGCAACGACCCCAAGAAGAAGGUGGGCCAUGAUUUCUGCUUCUCUUUUCACCAUUCGAGAGUUCCGCUCUUCCUUGGCAGCCACGGUGUUCCUCCUUCUAGCUCUCAGACAGCAUCAGCUGCAUCUCCAGGAUCUUCAAAUUCAACAAAAGCCAAGCCAGGAGGGUCACACUUUGGAGUGGUCUAUAAAUAGCCAAAGUGAAAGUCACUCAGUCGUGUCUGCCUCUUUGUGACCCCAUGGACUGUACAAUCCAUGGAAUUCUCCAGGCCAGAAUACUGGAGAGGGUAGCCUUUCUUUCCCUUCUCCAGGGAAUCUUCCCAGCCCAGGGGUCGAAGCCAGGUCUUCCACAUUGCAGGCGGAUUCUUUACCAGCUGAGCCGCAAAGGAAGCCCAUAAGAGCCAGAAGCUUGUUCCAGUUCGGUCUUGUUACCACUGUUUCCAAAAUUACCUGCAUUAACUUGACAGUCCAAUGGACUAGAAUCAUGAAGUCUUUUGAGAUCUUGGGUUAAAAAUGGGGAGGUUCAAAUCCACACACCCUAGGCUGGGUCUUCCUGGUCCCCUCCCGCCUGGCACCCCUGGAUGCUCUCACACACUAGGCAUCCAUGAAAUUGGCAGCAGAGGUCUUAUCUAAUAAAAAAUGGACUUGGACAGCA